AAGUAGGGGAUCGUAAGACCUUGCGCUUUUGGAGCGGCCGAUGUCUGAUUAGCUAGUUGGUGGGGUAAUGGCCUACCAAGGCUUCGAUCAGUAGCUGGUCUGAGAGGACGGCCAGCCACACUGGGACUGAGACACGGCCCAGACUCCUACGGGAGGCAGCAGUGGGGAAUUUUGGACAAUGGGCGAAAGCCUGAUCCAGCAAUGCCGCGUGAGUGAAGAAGGCCUUCGGGUUGUAAAGCUCUUUCAGUCGAGAAGAAAAGGUUGUGACUAAUAAUCACAACUUAUGACGGUACCGACAGAAGAAGCACCGGCUAACUACGUGCCAGCAGCCGCGGUAAUACGUAGGGUGCGAGCGUUAAUCGGAAUUACUGGGCGUAAAGGGUGCGCAGGCGGCUUUGUAAGUCAGAUGUGAAAUCCCCGGGCUUAACCUGGGAAUUGCGUUUGAAACUACAAAGCUAGAGU
rnacentral:rRNA from 1 species